rnacentral:rRNA from 1 species
GGGGACCUGCGGAAGGAUCAUUAAAAAGUUUCGGUCUAUAAGGCGUAAAACCCUCUAUAGACCGUGAACCCCCACCCUUGUGUAUUAUUUAUUUGUUGCUUUGGCAGGCCGCGAGCUUUACAGCGAGCACCGGCUUCGGCUGGAGAGUGCCUGCCAGAGGACCCAACUCUGUAUUUUAGUGACAUCUGAGUACUAUAUAAUAGUUAAAACUUUCAACAACGGAUCUCUUGGUUCUGGCAUCGAUGAAGAACGCAGCGAAAUGCGAUAAGUAAUGUGAAUUGCAGAAUUCAGUGAAUCAUCGAAUCUUUGAACGCACAUUGCGCCCUCUGGUAUUCCGGGGGGCAUGCCUGUUCGAGCGUCAUUAUGACCAAUCACGCAAGUGGUAUUGGGGCUUGCCAUACGGCAUCCCUUAAACACAGUGGCAGUGCUAUAGGCUCUCAGCGCAGUAAUUAUUUCGCUCUCGAGUCCUAGACCCACCCGCCAAAACCCCAACUUUCUUAGGUUGACCUCGGAUCAGGUAGGGAUACCCGCUGAACUUAAGCAUAUCAAUAGCCGGGAG